AUCCAUGGCGGGCCUUGCGGGGCAGCCUUCGGGCUGGCCGGUGCCAACGUUCCGGUUCGCCAACCCUGCAUGUGCCCGCCUCCCUC
rfam:Mumia flava strain MTSC 201 Contig436, whole genome shotgun sequence.